rnacentral:rRNA from 1 species
AUUGAACGCUGGCGGCAUGCUUUACACAUGCAAGUCGAACGGUAACAGGGUGCUUGCACCGCUGACGAGUGGCGAACGGGUGAGUAAUGCGUCGGAACGCACCGAGUAAUGGGGGAUAACGCAGCGAAAGCUGUGCUAAUACCGCAUACGCUCUGAGGAGGAAAGCGGGGGACCUUCGGGCCUCGCGUUAUUCGAGCGGCCGACGUCUGAUUAGCUAGUAGGUGAGGUAAGAGCUCACCUAGGCGACGAUCAGUAGCGGGUCUGAGAGGAUGAUCCGCCACACUGGGACUGAGACACGGCCCAGACUCCUACGGGGGGCAGCAGUGGGGAAUUUUGGACAAUGGGCGCAAGCCCGAUCCAGCCAUGCCGCGUGUCUGAAGAAGGCCUUCGGGUUGUAAAGGACUUUUGUCAGGGAGGAAAUCCUUAGCGCUAAUACCGUUGAGGGAUGACAGUACCUGAAGAAUAAGCACCGGCUAACUACGUGCCAGCCGCCGACGUAA